GCCCUCGUAGCUCAGGGGAUAGAGCGUCUGCCUCCGGAGCAGAAGGUCGUAGGUUCGAAUCCUAUCGGGGCCG
rnacentral:tRNA from 1 species